rnacentral:rRNA from 1 species
CCGCAUCUAGAUUAGACUUUGAUCCUGGCUCAGAUUGAACGCUGGCGGCAUGCUUUACACAUGCAAGUCGAACGGCAGCGCGGGGCAACCUGGCGGCGAGUGGCGAACGGGUGAGUAAUAUAUCGGAACGUACCCAAGAGUGGGGGAUAACGUAGCGAAAGUUACGCUAAUACCGCAUACGAUCUAAGGAUGAAAGCAGGGGACCGCAAGGCCUUGUGCUCCUGGAGCGGCCGAUAUCUGAUUAGCUAGUUGGUGAGGUAAAGGCUCACCAAGGCGACGAUCAGUAGCUGGUCUGAGAGGACGACCAGCCACACUGGAACUGAGACACGGUCCAGACUCCUACGGGAGGCAGCAGUGGGGAAUUUUGGACAAUGGGCGCAAGCCUGAUCCAGCAAUGCCGCGUGAGUGAAGAAGGCCUUCGGGUUGUAAAGCUCUUUUGUCAGGGAAGAAACGGUGAGGGCUAAUAUCCCUUGCUAAUGACGGUACCUGAAGAAUAAGCACCGGCUAACUACGUGCCAGCAGCCGCGGUAAUACGUAGGGUGCAAGCGUUAAUCGGAAUUACUGGGCGUAAAGCGUGCGCAGGCGGUUUUGUAAGUCUGAUGUGAAAUCCCCGGGCUCAACCUGGGAAUUGCAUUGGAGACUGCAAGGCUAGAAUCUGGCAGAGGGGGGUAGAAUUCCACGUGUAGCAGUGAAAUGCGUAGAGAUGUGGAGGAACACCGAUGGCGAAGGCAGCCCCCUGGGUCAAGAUUGACGCUCAUGCACGAAAGCGUGGGGAGCAAACAGGAUUAGAUACCUUGGUAGUCCACGCCCUAAACGAUGUCUACUAGUUGUCGGGUUUUAAUUAACUUGGUAACGCAGCUAACGCGUGAAGUAGACCGCCUGGGGAGUACGGUCGCAAGAUUAAAACUCAAAGGAAUUGACGGGGACCCGCACAAGCGGUGGAUGGAUGUGGAUUAAUUCGAUGCAACGCGAAAAACCUUACCUACCCUUGACAUGGCAUCCCGAAGAGAUUUGGGUGCUCGAAAGAAACCCUGCACACGCUGCAUGGCUGUCCAGCUCGCGGAGAUUUGGGUAGUCCCAACGACUUGUCAUUUGCUACAAAACAUCAAACCCAGGGGGUCACCACGG